UAUUAUAUGGCUUAGGGGUAGAGUGCUUGUCUAGCAUACAUAAAGUCCUGGGUUCAAUUCCUCAGUACAACAA
rnacentral:tRNA from 1 species